rnacentral:rRNA from 1 species
GUGGGGAAUAUUGCACAAUGGGCGCAAGCCUGAUGCAGCGACGCCGCGUGGGGGAUGACGGCCUUCGGGUUGUAAACUCCUUUCGCUAGGGACGAAGCUUUUUGUGACGGUACCUAGAUAAGAAGCACCGGCUAACUACGUGCCAGCAGCCGCGGUAAUACGUAGGGUGCGAGCGUUGUCCGGAAUUACUGGGCGUAAAGGGCUCGUAGGUGGUUUGUCGCGUCGUCUGUGAAAUUCCGGGGCUUAACUCCGGGCGUGCAGGCGAUACGGGCAUAACUUGAGUACUGUAGGGGUAACUGGAAUUCCUGGUGUAGCGGUGAAAUGCGCAGAUAUCAGGAGGAACACCGAUGGCGAAGGCAGGUUACUGGGCAGUUACUGACGCUGAGGAGCGAAAGCAUGGGUAGCGA